rnacentral:rRNA from 1 species
CGGUGCUGAAGCAACAAAUGCCCUGCUUCCAGGAAAAGCCUCUAAGCAUCAGGUAACACGAAAUCGUACCCCAAACCGACACAGGUGGUCAGGUAGAGAAUACCAAGGCGCUUGAGAGAACUCGGGUGAAGGAACUAGGCAAAAUGGUGCCGUAACUUCGGGAGAAGGCACGCUGACACGUAGGUGAAGUGAUUUACUCAUGGAGCUGAAGUCAGUCGAAGAUACCAGCUGGCUGCAACUGUUUAUUAAAAACACAGCACUGUGCAAACACGAAAGUGGACGUAUACGGUGUGACGCCUGCCCGGUGCCGGAAGGUUAAUUGAUGGGGUCAGCGUAAGCGAAGCUCCUGAUCGAAGCCCCGGUAAACGGCGGCCGUAACUAUAACGGUCCUAAGGUAGCGAAAUUCCUUGUCGGGUAAGUUCCGACCUGCACGAAUGGCGUAAUGAUGGCCAGGCUGUCUCCACCCGAGACUCAGUGAAAUUGAACUCGCUGUGAAGAUGCAGUGUACCCGCGGCAAGACGGAAAGACCCCGUGAACCUUUACUAUAGCUUGACACUGAACAUUGAGCCUUGAUGUGUAGGAUAGGUGGGAGGCUUUGAAGUGUGGACGCCAGUCUGCAUGGAGCCGACCUUGAAAUACCACCCUUUAAUGUUUGAUGUUCUAACGUGGACCCGUAAUCCGGGUUGCGGACAGUGUCUGGUGGGUAGUUUGACUGGGGCGGUCUCCUCCUAAAGAGUAACGGAGGAGCACGAAGGUUGGCUAAUCCUGGUCGGACAUCAGGAGGUUAGUGCAAUGGCAUAAGCCAGCUUGACUGCGAGCGUGACGGCGCGAGCAGGUGCGAAAGCAGGUCAUAGUGAUCCGGUGGUUCUGAAUGGAAGGGCCAUCGCUCAACGGAUAAAAGGUACUCCGGGGAUAACAGGCUGAUACCGCCCAAGAGUUCAUAUCGACGGCGGUGUUUGGCACCUCGAUGUCGGCUCAUCACAUCCUGGGGCUGAAGUAGGUCCCAAGGGUAUGGCUGUUCGCCAUUUAAAGUGGUACGCGAGCUGGGUUUAGAACGUCGUGAGACAGUUCGGUCCCUAUCUGCCGUGGGCGCUGGAGAACUGAGGGGGGCUGCUCCUAGUACGAGAGGACCGGAGUGGACGCAUCACUGGUGUUCGGGUUGUCAUGCCAAUGGCACUGCCCGGUAGCUAAAUGCGGAAGAGAUAAGUGCUGAAAGCAUCUAAGCACGAAACUUGCCCCGAGAUGAGUUCUCCCUGAGACUUAGAGUCUCCUGAAGGAACGUUGAAGACGACGACGUUGAUAGGC